UGAUCUCAGAUCAGGUGAGGUUACCCGCCGAAUUUAAGCAUAUUAUUCAGCGGUGGAAAAGAAAUCAAACGAGAUUCCCUUAGUAACGGCGAGUGAAAAGGGAUGAGUCCGGCGCAAAGGUUUUCCAUCGAAAGGUGGAAAGCGGUGCUGCGUAAUGGUUAAAGUUAUGAUGCUUUCAAUCAGAUCUGUAAGUCCCUCACAAGGGCUCUUUACCAAAGACGGUUCUAGGCCGGUAGCAGAUUCUGAUAAUUGAAAUGUCAAUUAUUAACUUGCCGCGGAUAGAGUCAGAUUGCUUGAGGUGCAAUCCAAAUUGGAGGUAAACUCCUCCCAAGACUAAAUACGAUGGUAAUAUCGAUAGCAAACAAGUACCGUGAGGAAAGUUGCAAAAUAAGAGAGAGUUCAAAAGGACGUGAAACCGCUUGUAGUGAAACGGAUAGAACCACGAAGUGUAGCUAAGAGGAGAAUUCAGCUUCUCUUGUGCACUGUGGCUUGUUUCAUAUGCUUGUCUUGAAUGCUUUACAGUGUUCCAAGAUCAGUAGACUUGGAGGAAACUCUUUGCCUACCCUUGGAUCAUGGCAUCAUAUUUGUAACUAUGACCACAUUGCAUGAGAAGUGCAUUUUCUUACACUCUUGUGCUCAAACCGCGACUAAUGUGAGGGUUACCUUCGGGUUCCCACUCUCGUGAUAUCAGUAGGGUGUACUAACCAUACAACCAAUCAAUACUGAGUUUUCACAGCCACUGAUUCUUCUUGCAAGUUUCAGACUUGGCCUGUGAGCUUGUAUUGGUAACUGCUGUAUCAUGUUCACAUUAGGCUGAAUCUCUACUUAAUUGUAGUGUUAGUGCAUUGGAACAUGCUGACGGACCCAGUUAAUCUUUCGUCGAUGAGACCUGUUUCUUCACCUAGUGUUGAAACAACUUAUGGAUUGAUUGACUCUUGGCAGUCUGUUGAUGGCUUCAAUGUAUCUCUGACUUGAUUCGGCGGUCAGUAGAUCGGUAAUCUAUCCGACCCGUCUUGAAACACGGACCAAGGAGUCUAGUAUAUAUGCAAGCUGAUCAGUCUUGAAUAGGCUUGAGAGGCGUAUUGAAAGAAAUUGAUGUGAUGGAGGUAUAGACUUGUCUAUAUUUUCCCGCAACAUCAACCCAUGUUGUAUCCACUUACCGUGAUUUUCAUGGAGUUCUAGUAUAUAUACUAGUACCCGAAAGAUGGUGAACUAAGCCCGGACAAGAUGAAGCCAGAGGAAACUCUGGUGGAGGUCUGUAGCGAUUCUGACGUGCAAAUCGAUCGUCAGAUCCGGGUUUAGGGGCGAAAGACUAAUCGAACCGUCUAGUAGCUGGUUUCUUCCGAAGUUUCCCUCAGGAUAGCUGGCACCAGCGGAAGUAAACACAGUAGCAUCCGGUAGAGCGAAUGAUUGGAGGUCUUGGGGACGAAAUGUCCUCAACCUACUCUCAAACUCCUAAUGGGUGCGAAGUUCAACUUGUUAAAAAGCUCGAUCUAUGGUAGUAAAACACCGUAGCAUCAUAAAGCUGAACAGCUUGAUGGUGCCCAGUGGGCCAUUUUUGGUAAGCAGAACUGGCGCUGUGGGAUGAACCAAACGUUAAGUGGUGCCCAAUACAGACGCUAAUGAGACACCAUGAAAGUGUGUUGGUUGCUAAAGACAGCAGGACGGUGGCCAUGGAAGUUGGAAUCCGCUAAGGAGUGUGUAACAACUCACCUGCCGAAGCAACUAGCCCUGAAAAUGGAUGGCGCUCAAGCGUUGAACCUAUACUUGACCGUCAACGGCAACCACAAUACAUGAAGAGAGAGCAUGUAUGCCUUGACGAGUAGGAAGAAUGUAGUGAUACCGUCGAAGGUGUCUGACGUAAGUCAGCCUGGAGGUAUCACUAUUACAGAUCUUGGUGGUAGUAGCAAAUACUCAAGUGAGACCCUUGAGGACCAAUGUGGAGAAGGGUUCCAUGUGAACAGUAGUUGAACAUGGGUCAGUCGGCUAAGCGAUGGGGAAAUCCUACCAAAGUCCGUAGGUUUAACUACCUUACGUUGUCUGCGGUGUUUCGCGAAAGGGAAUCUGGUUAAUAUUCCAGAACCUGACUUGGGAGAGUUGCUCUUGUUAUUUAUAGCAAGAGUAUAUGCGGUAACGCAAACCCAUAUGGAGAUGUUUCCAAAAGUCCUGGGGAGAGUUGUCUCUUCUUGUUAAGGUGCCAAGUCCCUGGAAUCGGUUUAACCGGAGAUAGGGAUUUCGGCACCGUAAAGCACCGCGGCUCUUGCGGUGUCCAGAGCACUUUUGGAAACCCUUGAAAAUCCAUAUGCGAGACUCAUAAAUUUCCAGUCAGACCGUACCCAUAUCCGCAGCAGGUCUCCAAGGUGAACAGCCUCUGGUCACUAGACUAAUGUAGAUAAGGGAAGUCGGCAAAGCGGAUCCGUAACUUCGGGAAAAGGAUUGGCUCUGAAAACUGAGCUGGUCGGGCUAAAGCCAGAAGCAAGUACUACAUUGUACUGAGACU